UCAAAGCUACUAAGGGCUCACGGUGGAUGCCUUGGUGCUAGGCGGCGACGAAGGGCGUGACAGACUGCGAUAAGCUUCGGGUAGUUGUUUAUAUGCUUUGAUCCGAAGAUCCCCGAAUCGGGCAACCGGGUAAGUAUUAUUACUUACCGUCUGUACGGUAACAGUACAGACGCCAACCAGGAGAAGUGAAACAUCUCAGUAUCCUGAGGAAGAGAAAGAAAAAUCGAUUUCCUGAGUAGCGGCGAGCGAAACGGAAACAGCCUAAACCAGAUGUACACGUACGUCUGGGGUUGUGGGACCCUCACAAAAGAUAACAGUUUUUUAACUUAACGUCCCUGGGAUAGGGCGACCAAAGAAGGUUACAGUCCUGUGAGUAAAAAGAAACUAAUGUCUUGAGGGGAUCCCGAGUACCACGCGGAUAGACUAAACCUGUGGGAAUCCAGGAGGACCACCUCCUAAGGCUAAAUACGUCCUAGCAACCGAUAGUGAACAAGUACUGUGAAGGAAAGGUGAAAAGUUCCCCUGUUAGGGAAGUGAAAUAGAACCUGAAACCGUGAGCUUACAAGCUGUGGAAGUGCGAGAUCGGGCAACCGAUGUGCAUGACCGCGUGCCUUUUGCAUAAUGAGCCGGUGACUUACUUUGCGUAGCAAGAUUAAGCUUUUUUGAAGUGUAGUCGUAGCGAAAGCGAGUCUGAAUAGGGCGAUAAGUUGCGUUGAGUAGACCCGAAACUGGGUGAUCUAUCCAUGGGCAGAAUGAAGCAUGUGUAAAAACAUGUGGAGGUUCGAACCCACCAGGGCUGAAAACCUGGGGGAUGACCUGUGGAUCGGAGUGAAAGGCUAAUCAAACCCAGUGAUAGCUGGUUCUCCUCGAAAUAGCUUUAGGGCUAGCCUCAUGUGUUUGGCAGUGGUGGUAGAGCUCUGGUUGGACUAGCGGGACUACCAUCUUAGCAACUCCAGUCAAACUGCGAAUGCCAUUGUCUUAGAACAUGGGAGUCAGUCUACGGGGGAUAAGCUCCGUAGACGAAAGGGAAACAGCCCAGACCGCCAGUUAAGGUCCCAAAAUACAAGUUAAGUGGAAAAGGAUGUGUCGUUACACAGACAACCAGGAUGUUGGCUUAGAAGCAGCCAUUCAUUUAAAGAGUGCGUAACUGCUCACUGGUCGAGUGACUUCGCACCGAAAAUGUAACGGGGCUAAACUUGUUACCGAAACUGCGGAUUUUAGUAUUACUAGAGUGGUAGAGGAGCGUUCUAUUGUAGGACGAAGGUAGAUCGAAAGACUUACUGGACGAACUAGAAGUGACCAUGCCGGCAUGAGUAGCGAUAAAACAUGUGAGAAUCAUGUUCACCGAAAACCUAAGGUUUCCCAUGCGAGGCGAAUCCGCACGGGGUUAGUCGUAUCCUAAGGCGAGGCCGAAAGGCGUAGUCGAUGGCAAUCAGGUUUAUAUUCCUGAACCACCGGGUGAGUAUGAAACACAGAGAGACGCAAGAUUAAGGGCUGAAUAGGAGAUGGCUCCGAAGCGUCAAGGACCUCUUAUUUUACAAGAGGUUUCAGCUUGAUUUCUUGCCAAGAAAAUCUUUGUGUGGACGAACUUUGGUGUGCGUACCGUAAACCGACACAGGUAGGUGAGGAGAGAAUCCUAAGGUGCUCGAGAGAACUCUGGCUAAGGAACUCGGCAAAAUGAUCCCGUAACUUCGGAAGAAGGGAUGCUCGAAAGAGCCGCAGUGAAAUGGCCUAUGCGACUGUUUACUAAAAACACAGGUCUGUGCUAAAUCGUAAGAUGAUGUAUACGGACUGACGCCUGCCCGGUGCCGAAAGGUUAUGGUGAGGGGUGAAGGAGCAAUCUGGAAGCUCUGAACCGAAGCCUCGGUAAACGGCGGCGGUAACUAUAACCGUCCUAAGGUAGCGAAAUUCCUCGUCGGGUAAAAUCCGACCUGCACGAAUGGCGUAACGACAUAGGCACUGUCUCGGCCAGAGACUCGGCGAAAUUGUAAUACCGGUGAAGAUGCCGGUUACCCAUAGAAAGACGGAAAGACCCCGUGAACCUUUACUAUAACCUGAUAUUGGGUUUUGGUGUAGCAUGUGUAGGAUAGGUGGGAGACUUUGAAGCUGGGGCGCUAGCCUCAGUGGAGUCGUCCUUGAAAUACCACUCUUGUUGCUCUGAAAUUCUAACUUUGGUUCGUGUAUCCGGAUCAAGAACAGUGUCAGGCGGGUAGUUUGACUGGGGCGGUCGCCUCCCAAAUCGUAACGGAGGCGUUCAAUGGUUCCCUCAGCGUGAUUGGAAACCACGCGUAGAGUGCAAAGGCAUAAGGGAGCUUGACUGCGAGACAGACAUGUCGAGCAGGUACGAAAGUAGGACUUAGUGAUCUUGCGGUACUGUGUGGAAAGGCCGUAACUCAACGGAUAAAAGGUACUCCGGGGAUAACAGGCUUAUCGCGCCCAAGCGCUCACAGCGACGGCGCGGUUUGGCACCUCGAUGUCGGCUCAUCACAUCCUGGGGCUGUAGCAGGUCCCAAGGGUUGGGCUGUUCGCCCAUUAAAGUGGUACGUGAGCUGGGUUUAGAACGUCGUGAGACAGUUCGGUCCCUAUCUUCUAUGGGCGUAGGAAAUUUGAGGGGAGCUACUGCUAGUAUGAGAAGACCGUGGUGGACAAACCUCUAGUGCACCAGUUGUCACGCCAGUGGCACCGCUGGGUAGCUAUGUUUGGAAGGGAUAAACGCUGAAAGCAUCUAAGCGUGAAGCCCACCCCAAGAUGAGAUUUCCCACAGAGUUAAUCUGAUAAGGAUCCUUCGAGAUAAGGAGGUUGAUAGGCCAGGUGUGUAAGUGUGGCGACAUAUUCAGCAGACUGGUACUAAUAAUCCGAAGGCUUUGACUUUUU
rnacentral:rRNA from 1 species